CGGACGGGUGAGUAAUGUCUGGGAAACUGCCCGAUGGAGGGGGGUAACUACUGGAAACGGUAGCUAAUACCGCAUAACGUCGCAAGACCAAAGAGGGGGACCUUCAGGCCUCUUGCCAUCGGAUGUGCCCAGAUGGGAUUAGCUAGUAGGUGGGGUAACGGCUCACCUAGGCGACGAUCCCUAGCUGGUCUGAGAGGAUGACCAGCCACACUGGAACUGAGACACGGUCCAG
rnacentral:rRNA from 1 species